CGGGCAGGAGUUCAGUGGUAGAGCUUUCGCUUUAUACACGGGAAGACCUGGGUUCGAUUCCUGGCUGCUUCC
rnacentral:tRNA from 1 species